rnacentral:rRNA from 1 species
GACGAACGCUGGCGGCGUGCUUAACACAUGCAAGUCGAACGGUGAAGCGCCUUCCUUUUUGGUGGGUGUGGAUGAGUGGCGAACGGGUGAGUAACACGUGAGUAACCUGCCCCCUUCUUCUGGAUAACCGCAUGAAAGUGUGGCUAAUACGGGAUAUUCUGGGUCUGUCGCAUGAUGGGUCUGGGAAAGAUAUUGUUUCGGUGGGGGAUGGGCUCGCGGCCUAUCAGCUUGUUGGUGGGGUGAUGGCCUACCAAGGCGGUGACGGGUAGCCGGCCUGAGAGGGUGGACGGUCACACUGGGACUGAGACACGGCCGAGACUGCGACGGGAGGCAGCAGUGGGGAAUAGUGCACAAUGGGCGCAAGCCUGAUGCAGCGACGCCGCGUGAGGGAUGGAGGCCUUCGGGUUGUGAACCUCUUUCGCCAGUGAAGCAGGCCUGCCUCGUUUGUGGGUGGGUUGACGGUAGCUGGAUAAGAAGCGCCGGCUAACUACGUG